rnacentral:rRNA from 1 species
GGUUAAGCGACUAAGCGUACACGGUGGAUGCCCUGGCAGUCAGAGGCGAUGAAGGACGUGCUAAUCUGCGAUAAGCGUCGGUAAGGUGAUAUGAACCGUUAUAACCGGCGAUUUCCGAAUGGGGAAACCCAGUGUGUUUCGACACACUAUCAUUAACUGAAUCCAUAGGUUAAUGAGGCGAACCGGGGGAACUGAAACAUCUAAGUACCCCGAGGAAAAGAAAUCAACCGAGAUUCCCCCAGUAGCGGCGAGCGAACGGGGAGCAGCCCAGAGCCUGAAUCAGUGUGUGUGUUAGUGGAAGCGUCUGGAAAGGCGCGCGAUACAGGGUGACAGCCCCGUACACAAAAAUGCACAUGCUGUGAGCUCGAUGAGUAGGGCGGGACACGUGGUAUCCUGUCUGAAUAUGGGGGGACCAUCCUCCAAGGCUAAAUACUCCUGACUGACCGAUAGUGAACCAGUACCGUGAGGGAAAGGCGAAAAGAACCCCGGCGAGGGGAGUGAAAAAGAACCUGAAACCGUGUACGUACAAGCAGUGGGAGCACGCUUAGGCGUGUGACUGCGUACCUUUUGUAUAAUGGGUCAGCGACUUAUAUUCUGUAGCAAGGUUAACCGAAUAGGGGAGCCGAAGGGAAACCGAGUCUUAACUGGGCGUUAAGUUGCAGGGUAUAGACCCGAAACCCGGUGAUCUAGCCAUGGGCAGGUUGAAGGUUGGGUAACACUAACUGGAGGACCGAACCGACUAAUGUUGAAAAAUUAGCGGAUGACUUGUGGCUGGGGGUGAAAGGCCAAUCAAACCGGGAGAUAGCUGGUUCUCCCCGAAAGCUAUUUAGGUAGCGCCUCGUGAAUUCAUCUCCGGGGGUAGAGCACUGUUUCGGCAAGGGGGUCAUCCCGACUUACCAACCCGAUGCAAACUGCGAAUACCGGAGAAUGUUAUCACGGGAGACACACGGCGGGUGCUAACGUCCGUCGUGAAGAGGGAAACAACCCAGACCGCCAGCUAAGGUCCCAAAGUCAUGGUUAAGUGGGAAACGAUGUGGGAAGGCCCAGACAGCCAGGAUGUUGGCUUAGAAGCAGCCAUCAUUUAAAGAAAGCGUAAUAGCUCACUGGUCGAGUCGGCCUGCGCGGAAGAUGUAACGGGGCUAAACCAUACACCGAAGCUGCGGCAGCGACGCUUAUGCGUUGUUGGGUAGGGGAGCGUUCUGUAAGCCUGCGAAGGUGUGCUGUGAGGCAUGCUGGAGGUAUCAGAAGUGCGAAUGCUGACAUAAGUAACGAUAAAGCGGGUGAAAAGCCCGCUCGCCGGAAGACCAAGGGUUCCUGUCCAACGUUAAUCGGGGCAGGGUGAGUCGACCCCUAAGGCGAGGCCGAAAGGCGUAGUCGAUGGGAAACAGGUUAAUAUUCCUGUACUUGGUGUUACUGCGAAGGGGGGACGGAGAAGGCUAUGUUGGCCGGGCGACGGUUGUCCCGGUUUAAGCGUGUAGGCUGGUUUUCCAGGCAAAUCCGGAAAAUCAAGGCUGAGGCGUGAUGACGAGGCACUACGGUGCUGAAGCAACAAAUGCCCUGCUUCCAGGAAAAGCCUCUAAGCAUCAGGUAACAUCAAAUCGUACCCCAAACCGACACAGGUGGUCAGGUAGAGAAUACCAAGGCGCUUGAGAGAACUCGGGUGAAGGAACUAGGCAAAAUGGUGCCGUAACUUCGGGAGAAGGCACGCUGAUAUGUAGGUGAAGUCCCUCGCGGAUGGAGCUGAAAUCAGUCGAAGAUACCAGCUGGCUGCAACUGUUUAUUAAAAACACAGCACUGUGCAAACACGAAAGUGGACGUAUACGGUGUGACGCCUGCCCGGUGCCGGAAGGUUAAUUGAUGGGGUUAGCCGCAAGGCGAAGCUCUUGAUCGAAGCCCCGGUAAACGGCGGCCGUAACUAUAACGGUCCUAAGGUAGCGAAAUUCCUUGUCGGGUAAGUUCCGACCUGCACGAAUGGCGUAAUGAUGGCCAGGCUGUCUCCACCCGAGACUCAGUGAAAUUGAACUCGCUGUGAAGAUGCAGUGUACCCGCGGCAAGACGGAAAGACCCCGUGAACCUUUACUAUAGCUUGACACUGAACAUUGAGCCUUGAUGUGUAGGAUAGGUGGGAGGCUUUGAAGUGUGGACGCCAGUCUGCAUGGAGCCGACCUUGAAAUACCACCCUUUAAUGUUUGAUGUUCUAACGUUGACCCGUAAUCCGGGUUGCGGACAGUGUCUGGUGGGUAGUUUGACUGGGGCGGUCUCCUCCUAAAGAGUAACGGAGGAGCACGAAGGUUGGCUAAUCCUGGUCGGACAUCAGGAGGUUAGUGCAAUGGCAUAAGCCAGCUUGACUGCGAGCGUGACGGCGCGAGCAGGUGCGAAAGCAGGUCAUAGUGAUCCGGUGGUUCUGAAUGGAAGGGCCAUCGCUCAACGGAUAAAAGGUACUCCGGGGAUAACAGGCUGAUACCGCCCAAGAGUUCAUAUCGACGGCGGUGUUUGGCACCUCGAUGUCGGCUCAUCACAUCCUGGGGCUGAAGUAGGUCCCAAGGGUAUGGCUGUUCGCCAUUUAAAGUGGUACGCGAGCUGGGUUUAGAACGUCGUGAGACAGUUCGGUCCCUAUCUGCCGUGGGCGCUGGAGAACUGAGGGGGGCUGCUCCUAGUACGAGAGGACCGGAGUGGACGCAUCACUGGUGUUCGGGUUGUCAUGCCAAUGGCACUGCCCGGUAGCUAAAUGCGGAAGAGAUAAGUGCUGAAAGCAUCUAAGCACGAAACUUGCCCCGAGAUGAGUUCUCCCUGACUCCUUGAGAGUCCUGAAGGAACGUUGAAGACGACGACGUUGAUAGGCCGGGUGUGUAAGCGCAGCGAUGCGUUGAGCUAACCGGUACUAAUGAACCGUGAGGCUUAACCUU